rnacentral:lncRNA from 1 species
AGCUGAUUAGAUAGGGAACAUUUUAAGAGAGGUUUAGAUGGGGAACAACCUAAGAGAGGAUUAUAUAGGCAACACACUUAGAGCUUAUUAGACAGGGAACAUACUAAUUGCUGAUUAGAUAGGGAACAUUCUAAAAGAGGAUUAGAUAGGGAACACACUAAGAGCUGAUUAGAUAUGGAACAUACUAGAUAGGGAACAUACUAAGAGGUGAUUAGAUAGGGAACAUUCUAAGAGAGGUUUAGAUGGGGAACAACCUAAGAGAGGAUUAUAUAGGCAACACACUUAGAGCUGAUUAGACAGGGAACAUACUAAUUGCUGAUUACAUAGGGAACACACUAAGAGGUGAAAAGAUAGGGAAUGUACUAAGAGCUGAUUAGAUAGGGAACAUACUAAGAUCUGAUUAGAUAGGGAACAUACUAAGAUCUGAUUAGAUAGGGAAUGUACUAAGAGGUGAAAAGAUAGGGAACAUACUAAGAGAGGAUUAGAUAGGGAACAUACUAAGAUCUGAUUAGAUAGAGAACAUUCAGAGACGUUUAGAUAGGGAACACACUAAGAGAGAAUUAUGUAGGCAACACACUUAGAUCUGAUUAGACAGGGAACAUACUAAGAGCGGAUUAUAUAGGGAACAUAUUAAGAGCUGAUUAGAUAGGGAACAUACUAAGAUCUGAUUAGAUAGGGAAUGUACAAAGAAACGAUUAGAUAGGGAACAUACUAUGAGGUGAUUAGAUAGGGAGCAUACUAAGAGUUGAUUAGAUAGGGAACAUACUAAGAGCUGAUUAGAUAGGGAGCAUACUAAGAGUUGAUUAGAUAGGGAACAUACUAUGAGGUGAUUAGAUAGGGAACAUACUAAGAGCUGAUUAGAUAGGGAACAUACUAAGAGCUGAUUAGAUAGGGAACAUACUAAGAGCUGAUUAGAUAGGGAGCAUACUAAGAGCUGAUUAGAUAGGGAACAUACUAAGAGCUGAUUAGAUAGGGAACAUACUAAAAGAGGACUAGAUAGGGAGCAUACUAAUAGCUGGUUAGAUAGGGAACAUACUAGAAAGGGAACAUACUAAGAUCUGAUUAGAUAGGGAACAUACUAGACAGGGAACAUACUAAGAGAGGAUUAGAUAGGGAGCAUACUAAUAGCUGAUUAGAUAGGGAACAUACUAAGAGCUGAUUAGAUAGGGAACAUACUAGACAGGGAAC